rnacentral:rRNA from 1 species
AGAGAGAGACAUGCGCGCAUAUCAAUAAGCGGAGGAAAAGAAAUUAACAAGGAUUCCCCUAGUAACGGCGAGUGAAGCGGGAAGAGCUCAAAUUCGAAAUCUUAAAGGGUUUCCCUUUACGAAUUGUAGUUUAAAGAAGUGUUUUCUGUUGAGGUUUUGGUAAAAGUUCUUUGGAAUAGGACAUCAUAGAGGGUGAGAAUCCCGUAUUUGACCUUUACUUUCAACUUUGUGAUACACUUUCAAAGAGUCGGAUUGUUUGGGAAUGCAGUCCAAAAUGGGUGGUAAAUUUCAUCUAAAGCUAAAUAUUGGCGAGAGACCGAUAGCGAACAAGUACCGUGAGGGAAAGAUGAAAAGAACUUUGAAAAGAGAGUUAAACAGUACGUGAAAUUGUCAAAAGGGAAGCGUUUGACACCAGUGUUGUUUUUCUGAAAAUCAAUUAAAGAACUGUUUAUGCUAAGCUGUUUAGACUUUAUCAGCUAACUGUUUAGUUUUGAGCUUUUCUUUAAUGCACUUUUCAGUUAACAAGUCAACAUCAAUUUCUUUUGCUGUAAAAAAGCUUGAGGAAGGUGGCUUGAGAUUCGUCUUAAGUGUUUAUAGCCUCUUGCCUAUGCAGUCGGAGAGAUUGAGGUCUGCAGCGUAGAUCCUUCGGGGCUAAAUGCAUUUGUGCUAAGUUAUAGCAUUUUAUAGACAACUUGUUGACUAUGAUUUGUCUUGUAGCUUACUCGCUUAUGUUAUUUUACCUACGCUAGGAUGUUGAGCGCAUGUCUCUCUCU